rnacentral:rRNA from 1 species
CUGGCGGCAGCCUACACAUGCNAGUCGAGCGGAUGAAGAGAGCUUGCUCUCUGAUUCAGCGGCGGACGGGUGAGUAAUGCCUAGGAAUCUGCCUGGUAGUGGGGGACAACGUCUCGAAAGGGACGCUAAUACCGCAUACGUCCUACGGGAGAAAGCAGGGGACCUUCGGGCCUUGCGCUAUCAGAUGAGCCUAGGUCGGAUUAGCUAGUUGGUGAGGUAAUGGCUCACCAAGGCGACGAUCCGUAACUGGUCUGAGAGGAUGAUCAGUCACACUGGAACUGAGACACGGUCCAGACUCCUACGGGAGGCAGCAGUGGGGAAUAUUGGACAAUGGGCGAAAGCCUGAUCCAGCCAUGCCGCGUGUGUGAAGAAGGUCUUCGGAUUGUAAAGCACUUUAAGUUGGGAGGAAGGGCAGUAAGCGAAUACCUUGCUGAUUUGACGUUACCGACAGAAUAAGCACCGGCUAACUCUGUGCCAGCAGCCGCGGUAAU